rnacentral:lncRNA from 1 species
AUGGUGCUUUGCAUUCUCCCCGGGGUGAGGCAAACACCGAACGCGAGUACUGACGCUGUCCACCAGCUUGGUGAAAGGACUGGUGGAGUUCCAGCUGCACCACUUCUUAUGCAGCUGCGGCAGAGGAGGGAGGAAGUCCUGGAAGGUGCGCACGCUCCACGCCCUCGGCCUGGCGCAGGCGCCGUCCUUGCCCGUCCUGGAGCCACUGGGCGAGGUGGAGGGGUCGGGCGAUGGCCAAUCACCCGCCGGGCUGGGCCCGGUGUCGCUGUGCCGCAGAAACCGGUCUCGCUGCUGAGAGACGGAUAAAGAACUAAAAGUUUAUCAUAUCAGCAACUGGAAGAGACUCAUCAUGACACCAUUUCAGAAGUCUGGCAAUCAGCGCAGCUGUGGUGCUUCCUCUCUGAAUAAAGAAUUCCCGCAUUAAAUUUGAUGUAGAAUCCUAUUUUGCAGUGAAUGGGCUUCUAGCUUGUUUGAAUAUUUUGCUUUAAAAGAAAAUGUGAACAUGACAAAAUGGAGGUGAAAGGACAGAAACUGGGCCUUACUGUAUGAGGAGAGACGGGCAGUCUGCUUGAGCAAGGAGCUGACGAUACAAUGAAGACCUCAUCUGCACCGAGGUCGAGUUCGGUCAGCCCGCUGCAGGAAAGGUCUACCUCUGCAUUCUCGGAAUUGUCAGCGGUUACUAUCGAAACAGAAAAACAAACCAAAAAUCAAACAAUAUCGGCACAAUUUAUUGAGAACAGCGAUGCCGAGCAGUUGAGCCAGAGUUCAGCUUUUACACGAAUCGGUUACGCAGCAUUUUCAGCCUCAGACAACAGGAAUCAUGUGCAGAUUCAAAUAUAAAAGUUUAAAACAAAAUUCCAGUUUGAUUCAAUAUUGGCUUGUAGGAAUGUAAGCAGUCAAAGGCAUGCUUUUCAUUUAAAACGGUUAAAUUAGGCAGAGUGCAGAGCAGGCUAGUCUAAACUCCUGUUCCUGAGCUGUGGUUCGGUAUAAAGGUCUUACACCGUGAAAGGAGCUCAUGCAGAGGUGGACCGUACCACCGUGUCCUUCAAACUACCUCCAGACUCCUUUGUGGGUUAAAUGCCACAACCCAGAAAUCUCUGAGCCUGGGUUUAGACCCACUGAGAGAAGAGCCUUCGGACUGUUGCGGGAUCAAGCCGGAGCUGCUCCAGAACGAAUGCUUUUUUUGAAAUUCUUCAUUGUAAAGGUCUGCAGACGCACCCAGAGGGUUCCACGCGCGGUUUGUAACACAAUACCCCAUCUUUGUAACACAAUAGGGAUUCAACCUACUACCAGUUUCUGAAGGAACAAAAAAUUUGUCUUUCCAGGUAGCUGCACUAGAGACACAGCGUGGGAACUAUCAGCACACAGUGGAACGGUUAAUCAGAUCGUGGCCAAAAAACAAUUAACAUGCGGCAUAAACAUAAUUAAAAGUUAAGAAUGUGGGUUAUUUAUCCAGCUGCGGCGCUGAAAAUUAGACACCAAGAUGAGUAAAGUUUGCAGGACUGCUGAAGUGCAGGUUUCUCUGGCUGCGGCUCCGGUACAACCUGUCUGCGGCGGGCUGUCUCCGGCCGCUUCUGUGGUCGCCUCCAUGUUUAUCUGGUUCUCAGCCAUCAGCUGCAGCUCGCUGACCUCCGCCCCGGUGUUCUGAACCCCCUCUGGAACCUACAGGAGAUGGAAAACAGUAAUCGGGACUUCAUCGAGGUCCAAGCAGUGCAAACAAGUUCUCCACAGGUGGUCCUCUGCAGGUAAAGCCGAGCACAGCCGUAGCAAAGUGGAGCAAAACUAGUGAUCAGGUUAGAGAUUGAAUGUGAUCCAAAGCCUCCAACAGGCAGCAGUGAUCAGCAGGGAUGCGGCAGAGAUAUUUUAAUGGAGCUAACACUCAAAUCUGAGGACAGCAUCGCAGAAAUGGACGUGAUUGAGCCACAUAUUUGAUUGAAAUGAAUCUCUUUACAAUGCUAACGUGUGGGGAGGAGAAGAAACGAAGAGCCGGGUCAUGGCCGUACCUCGGAGUUGCUGGAAGAACAGGAGCUCGCUCUUUUGGGGCACAGUUUGGGUCUGGGAAAAAAAUGCAGAUUAAACACAGAUUAAACCCUCUGUGUUUACUUCAUAACUCACAAGUGUCAGUGUUUUUCAUAGCAACCAGCUAACUCAAUUUCUAAUUGCUCCAAUUUACCCACAGCUACUCUCCCACCCCGCUCCAGUAGCUACUCCAUUGUGGUGAUGGAUGAUGGCGUGAGAUGCGCCACCAUCUGGCAUUGACACAUUCCAGGGCUCUAAAGGUUCAAAUAGUUGCACCUCUUUCACAUUUUCACUGCCGUCUCUCUCCGCAGACACGCCGCUGGUUAGGAAAUAUUAGUUUCCUUUAACAACAUGGUGAAACAGUGAAUUAAAGUCACGUCUGUCCCGUUCCUCAGCACACAUGAGCCAGUGAAGCAUGCAGGAAUACUGGAGCCAGGAGCCUCUUAUUAAAAAUUACUCUCACAGUUGAAUGAGUUCAUUACCCGCCAGUGGUCAAGCAAGGGCACCCCCUGCUGUGACUCAUCAACCUUUGGCUGCUUCCCGAUGAAGGGAAACCUCAGGAGUUAAUCUGACUGCUACUAUAAGUGAGCGUGGCCUUGCUUAGCUGGCCAGUCUUGUUAUUUACAUCGAUUUCUGUGAAGCCGUUUAAAAUAAUAGGGAACAGCUACUGAAGCCGCUCCUGCCGCUUGACAUUUCAGGGCAGCGCAUUUCCUGGCUACCGAAUGACUCGUGUUGUUCUUGCUAAUUACGCCUCCAUUUUACUCAACACGUGUUUCCGAUUUCCCCGUCAUUAAUGGCGAGGACCUGCGGAGUUAUUGCGGAGACGCUGAGCUGCAUCUGAAAUGAACACAAAUCGCAUUAAACUGAGGGUUUUUUUUGUCUCACAGCAAGUUAAAUACCAAGGCCGGCACCGCACUGACCGCUCUCUAAAACAGUCAGACCGCCAGCACAGACAGUAUUACAAAUCUACAAAUGCAACGGUCUAGCCUGCGCUUGUCCCCUGGCACGGCGAUGAAACGCCUUGGCCUUUUGAUUAACUGACAAUGCCAUCAGAACCAAAUUGGUAUUGGGUUUUAGCUCUCCUAUUGUGCCCUGUGGCCCUUCCCUUCCCUCCACCCAUUCACUUUCAACCAGCCUCCGGGGUUUUUGCCGGCUGGAAUCGAUGCCAGGUGCUGCACCUUGAAUGAGCUGCUAUCGCCGGUAAGAAUGCUCCACAUCAAGGAGACCGCGCGGCUGCAGCCAAACCAGACUAAUCUUCCAAGGUCACCACAUCAGGGGCCGGGUUUCCAGGUUGAGUCAACAUAACACGGUUGUGAGUGAGUAUGCGCAAGCAGGCACUUAUUUACAGUCAGAUCGGCCCGUUUUCACGCAUGAGAGGACUCAAAGACUUGUGAAUUUUCUCAGGAGGUUCGUCGAGGAGUUCUGUCCAGACCUGAAAAUCCGAGGUUCCCCUAAAACUUUAGGCAACGAAGUGAAACGCAGCUGAAGGGAUUGUUUUUGGUUUUGCCUGUAUUCUCCAUCGAUAAUGACAGGCUUCUGUCGAUGAGCCAUCCCAUCCUGCUUGUGGGACGCGUCUGAACAUGAAUGUCGAAUGGGAAUAUUCAACUUCCUGCUGAACACAUAGAGAUUAGGGUAUAAUUCAGAUUUAGAUGUAGAUUUGAUUUAAGAGUGAGUUGGUUAGCUUUGGUUGAUUUGACAACUGAUUUGUUUUCUGUGAAGGCUCCUCUGUUAACUCUCUGUGAAAGAAAGUUUAAAAAGUUGGGAUUUUAUUUUGGUAGAUUUAUA